UUUUUUUGUUUUUAACAUCAGAUCAGCAUACAUUAAUCCAUUUGUUGUCACAGUAGACAUAAACAAGCAAUAAGCACAAACCUCUCUACAAUCCAUUAUAUGUCUAUACCAUAACUAUCUGCCAUCAGAGCAUCUGAUCAUACUAUGUAACCUAACAAAAGGUUUGCUGACUAGACAGCCUCAGCAAAACCAAGUUGAAGCUCACCAAAGUCGAACACAGUAUGAUACACUCUCAUGAACACAUCUCCAAGAAUCCAGAGAGGACCUCUUGGAGGAGGUACGUCAAAAGCCAUGAACCCACUGAUGCAAACUGCUGCAAUGCCGUCUCCAGUUUUCAGAAUAUACUGCUCUGGAGUGAGAUUGAAAGGUUUAUCUCCUAUGGUAAAAGUGAUGUUUGGCAUGCUUAAAAC
rnacentral:misc_RNA from 1 species